rnacentral:rRNA from 1 species
AGGACGAACGCUGGCGGCGUGCCUAACACAUGCAAGUCGAACGGAGCCCGCAAGGGUUCAGUGGCGAACGGGUGCGUAACACGUGAGGAACUUGUCCAUCGGCGGGGGAUAGCCGGCCCAACGGCCGGGUAAUACCGCGUACGCCGUCCGGAGCGCAUGCUCUGGCCGGGAAAGCAGCAAUGCACCGAUGGAGAGCCUCGCGGCCUAUCAGCUAGUUGGUGGGGUAAUGGCCUACCAAGGCGACGACGGGUAGCUGGUCUGAGAGGAUGACCAGCCACAUUGGGACUGAGACACGGCCCAGACUCCUACGGGAGGCAGCAGUGGGGAAUAUUGCGCAAUGGGCGAAAGCCUGACGCAGCGACGCCGCGUGUGGAUGACGGCCUUCGGUUGUAACCACUGUCGCGAGGGACGAAGAUCUGACGGUACCUCGAAAGGAAGCACCGGCUAACUCUGCGCCAGCAGCCGCGGU